rnacentral:rRNA from 1 species
AGAGUUUGAUCCUGGCUCAGGAUGAACGCUGGCGGCGUGCCUAACACAUGCAAGUCGCACGAGAACCCUGUUUUCGGAUGGGGGGACAGUGGCGAACGGGUGAGUAACACGUUGGUGACCUGCCCCGAAGUGGGGGAUAAUUCCGCGAAAGCGGGACUAAUACCGCAUGAGCUCCAGAGGGUUAGAGGCCUGUGGAGGAAAGCUGCGGCGCUUCGGGAGGGGCCUGCGGCCUAUCAGCUAGUUGGUAGGGUAAUGGCCUACCAAGGCGGAGACGGGUAGGGGGCGUGAGAGCGUGGCCCCCCACAAUGGAACUGAGACACGGUCCAUACUCCUACGGGAGGCAGCAGUGAGGAAUAUUGCGCAAUGGGGGCAACCCUGACGCAGCAACGCCGCGUGGGUGAAGAAGGCCUUCGGGUUGUAAAACCCUUUUCUGGGGGACGAGACAGGACGGUACCCCAGGAAUAAGUCCCGGCUAACUACGUGCCAGCAGCCGCGGUAAAACGUAGGGGGCGAGCGUUAUCCGGAUUUACUGGGCGUAAAGCGCGUGCAGGCGGCUGGGUAGGUUGGACGUGAAAGCUCCUGGCUCAACUGGGAGAGGUCGUUCAAAACCGCCCGGCUUGAGGGUGGAAGAGGGGAGCGGAAUUCCCGGUGUAGUGGUGGAAUGCGUAGAGAUCGGGAGGAACACCUGUGGCGAAAGCGGCUCCCUGGUCCGCGCCUGACGCUAAGCCGCGAAAGCGUGGGGAGCGAACGGGAUUAGAUACCCCGGUAGUCCACGCUGUAAACGAUGGAUGCUAGGUGUGGGUGGUAUUGACCCCAUCCGUGCCGUAGCUAACGCGUUAAGCAUCCCGCCUGGGGACUACGGCCGCAAGGUUAAAACUCAAAGGAAUUGACGGGGGCCCGCACAAGCAGCGGAGCGUGUGGUUUAAUUCGAUGUUACGCGAAGAACCUUACCUGGGUUUGACAUGCCCGUAGUAGUGAAGCGAAAGCGGAACGACCCUUCGGGGAGCGGGCACAGGUGCUGCAUGGCUGUCGUCAGCUCGUGUCGUGAGAUGUUGGGUUAAGUCCCGCAACGAGCGCAACCCUCGCUGUUAGUUAUACGUGUCUAACGGGACUGCUGGUAUCAAACCGGAGGAAGGUGGGGAUGACGUCAAGUCAGCAUGGCCUUUAUGUCCAGGGCUACACACACGCUACAAUGGUCGGUACAAUGGGUGGCCACACCGCGAGGUGGCGCUAAUCCUCAAAGCCGGCCUCAGUUCAGAUUGCAGUCUGCGACUCGACUGCAUGAAGGCGGAGUUGCUAGUAACCGCGCGUCAGCCAUAGUGCGGUGAAUACGUUCCCGGGCCUUGUACACACCGCCCGUCACGUCAUGGGAGCCGGCAACACCUGAAGUCGGUGGGCCAACCGCGAGGAGGCAGCCGCCUAAGGUGGGGCUGGUGACUGGGACGAAGUCGUAACAAGGUAACC